UCAGUCGACUCCUACGGGGAGGCAGCAGUGGGGGAAUAUUGCACAAUGGGCGCAAGCCUGAUGCAGCCAUGCCGCGUGUAUGAAGAAGGCCUUCGGGUUGUAAAGUACUUUCAGCAGUGAGGAAGGUGGGUAUGGUUAAUAGCAUACUCAUUUGACGUUAGCUGCAGAAGAAAGCACCGGCUAACUCCGUGCCAGCAGCCGCGGUAAUACGGAGGGUGCGAGCGUUAAUCGGAAUUACUGGGCGUAAAGCGCAUGCAGGUGGUUUGUUAAGUCAGAUGUGAAAGCCCGGGGCGUCAACCUCGGAAUUGCAUUUGAAACUGGCAAACUAGAGUACUGUAGAGGGGGGUAGGAAUUUCAGGUGUAGCGGUGAAAUGCGUAGAGAUCUGAAGGAAUACCGGUGGCGAAGGCGGCCCCCUCGGACAGAUACUGACACUCAGAUGCGAAAGCGUGGGGAGCAAACAGGAUUAGAUACCCUGGUAG
rnacentral:rRNA from 1 species